AUUGAACGCUGGCGGCAGGCCUAACACAUGCAAGUCGAGCGAGCGGCUGACGGGUGAGUAAUUUAUGGGGACUGCCCUAUAGAGGGGGAUAACUCCUUGCAACUGUGGCUAAUACCGCAUACCAUCGGAUAACCCAUCUGGGAUUCGCUAGUAGGUGGGGUAAAGGCUCACCUAGGCGACGAUCUCUAGCUGGUCGGAUAGGAUGAUCAGCGACACUGGGACUGAGACACGGCCCAGACUCCUACGGAGGCAGCAGUGGGGAAUAUUGCACAAUGGGCGCAAGCCUGACGCAGCCAUGCCGCGUGUAUGAAGAAGGCCUUAGGGUUGUAAAGUACUUUCAGCGGGGAGGCGUUACCCGCAGAAGAAGCACCGGCUAACUCCGUGCCAGCAGCCGCGGUAAUUC
rnacentral:rRNA from 1 species